rnacentral:lncRNA from 1 species
CUAGAGCAUGAUUUGUGUCCGGUCCGGUCCGUUGAAGCAGUGAUGCAUCCGUUGAGAAUCUGUAUGGUUGUUAACAUUUUAACUCUUUGGUUUAAAAUGCUGAUGCUCUAGUUGCCCGUUCUUUAGUGAAUGCCUUAGUCCUGCUAAACACAAUCCCUAGACACUCCUAGGACGUAACACCUGGAGUGUUUGAAAAGAAGUUUAUUCCACCGGUAAUGUUCAACCUCGGAAAAAGGAUCAACCUCUCAGCGACAGGAUUCAGGAUGACAGAUAGCACUAGGUGGAUUUCCCAAGGGAACAACGCCACAGCUGACAUACACAAGUCUCGGGGUGGCAGUAGAGUUUCUGGGAUCUGUGGCGGUUAUUGUGGAAAAUGCACUCCCUCCUCCAGCUCUGGACGUCUUGUUGACGUUUCAUACAUCAACGUCGCUAGUUGACGUUGUUACACUUGCAUCAAGUGUACUGGUGAGGUCUGCUGACAAAUGUCUAAUUUAAUUUUAUUAUUAUUAUUUUUUUUUUUAAAAGAAAAAUUCUAUGUGUAUGAUUUUUCAAGUGCCAUACAAUUCACUUAUGAGCCAAGUGUUGAAUACCAGUAUAGGUUCUUUGGCAUCUAUUUCACUGGGUUGUAUUUAUACACUACUGUUAAAAAGCUUAUGGUUGUUUAUUUAUUUUUAUGUUUUGAGAAAUAAGUCUCUUAGACACAAGCGUCAUUUAUUUAAUCAAAAAUACAGCA